rnacentral:pre_miRNA from 1 species
GGGUGCCAUUUUGAAAUCGCAUUAUUGUGAAAUAAAACGCCCCGUGUAGCAGCGUUAUUUUGAGAGAAAAUCCUUCUCUCAAAAUAACUGUUCCUCCAUAAAAUGAGGAGUAAAAGUUAUUUCGAGAGAAGAGUUUUCUCUCGAAAUAAUGCUGCUACAUGGGGCGUUUUAUUUUGCAAUGACAUAAUUUCAAAAUGGCGCCC